GAUGAACGCUAGCUGCAGGCUUAACACAUGCAAGUCGAGGGGAAACGACAUCGAAAGCUUGCUUUUGAUGGGCGUCGAGCGGGGCACGGGUGAGUAACGCGUAUCCAACCUGCCCAUCACUUGGUAAUAACCUUUCGAAAGUAAGACUAAUACCCAAUGCUAUCCCACGAAGGCAUCGGAUUGGGAUUAUAGAUUUAUCGGUGAUGGACGGGGAUGCGUCUGAUUGGCUGGUUGGCGGGGUAACGGGCCACCAAGGCAACGAUCAGUAGGGGAUCUGAAAGGAAGGUCCCUGACAUUGGAACAGGGACACGGACCAAACGCCUACGGCAGGGAGCAGUGAGGAACAUGAGGCAAUGGGCGAGAACCUGAGACAGCCAAGUAGCGUGCAGUAUGACGGUGCUAUGUGAGGUAAACUGGUUUUAGAAUUGAAUAGAGUGUGUAUCGGGAGACUUUUUGAAGGUACCGUAAGAAUAAGCACCGGCUAACUCCGUG
rnacentral:rRNA from 1 species